UGGUGAAAUGAUUUGUCUGGUUAAUUCCGAUAACGAGCGAGACCUCAGCCUACUAAUUAGUAAAUGCAAUGUUUACAUUGUAUUUUACAUCUUAGAGGGACUAUCGGUGUGUAGCCGAAGGAAGUUUGAGGCAAUAACA
rnacentral:rRNA from 1 species